ACUGUUUCACAGUUAGUUUCUCGU
rnacentral:siRNA from 1 species